GCGUUCAUUGUGUAGAGGUUAGCAUCUCGGGUUUCCAACCCGGGGACCCGGGUUCAAUUCCCGGUGAACGCA
rnacentral:tRNA from 1 species